UGUUGACUGCCAUUAUCUGAGGUUCUCCUAGUUCAGGAUUUCACAGUAGCAUAAUUUUUAUGUUUUGUCCAGGAUUUUGGUUGAAAAUAACAGUAGCCGACAGUUCCUGAGUACUUCUCAGGUUCUGUCUUAAUUACUUCAUAUACAUCACCUCUUGUGAUUCCCACAAGUCUGAGAGAAAGAGGCUCUUAUUAUCUCCUUUACACAGACAAAGAAAUUGAGGUUUGGAACUAUCUAGUAACUCACUGGCCUAAAGUGAGGUCAUAACAGCUGGUUGUGAGCACCUUGGGAGCCAUAGAUUGUGAUUAUUGCACAACCAGAUCCUGAGAGCCAAGUUCCAGUGGUCAUAUAUGGAUGUGAGAGUUGGACUGUGAAGAAAGC